GAUGAAGAACGUAGCGAAAUGCGAUAAGUAAUGUGAAUUGCAGAAUUCAGUGAAUCAUCGAAUCUUUGAACGCACAUUGCGCCCGUCAGUAUUCUGGCGGGCAUGCCUGUUCGAGCGUCAUUACGCCCCUCAAGUCCCCUGUGGACUUGGUGUUGGGGAUCGGCGAGGCUGGUUUUCCAGCACAGCCGUCCCUUCAAUUAAUUGGCGGUCUCGCCGUGGCCCUCCUCUGCGCAGUAGUAAAACACUCGCAACAGGAGCCCGGCGCGGUCCACUGCCGUAAAACCCCCCAACUUUUUAUAGUUGACCUCGAAUCAGGUAGGACUACCCGCUGAACUUAAGCAUAUCAAAAGCGGAGGA
rnacentral:misc_RNA from 1 species